rnacentral:rRNA from 1 species
CCAAUCGAACCCGGAGAUAGCUGGUUCUCCUCGAAAUAGCUUUAGGGCUAGCCUCAUGGAUCAUUGGUGGGGGUAGAGCACUGAAUGUGCGCGGGGGCCACAAAGCCUACCAAACGCUAUCAAACUUCGAAUACCAUACAAUGCAGACCAUGGGAGUCAGUCCGCGAGAGAUAAGUUCCGCGGGCAAAAGGGGAACACCCCAGAUCAACCGCUAAGGUCCCCAAGUUCACGUUAAGUGGAGAAGGAUGUGGAAUUGCACAGACAACCAGGAUGUUGGCUCAGAAGCAGCCACACAUUUAAAGAGUGCGUAAUAGCUCACUGGUCGAGUGAUUGUGCGCCGAAGAUGUCCGGGGCUAAACGUGACACCGAAGCGAUGGGUGCAUCUGAAAGGAUGCGCGGUAGAGGAGCAAUGUGCAGAGGCAGAAGCCGUAUCGAGAGGCACGGUGGACACUGCACAAGAGAGAAUGCCGGUAUGAGUAGCGAGAGGCAUGCGAGAAACAUGCCCGUCGAAAGCCCAAGGUUUCCUGGGGAAGGUUCAUCCGCCCAGGGUAAGUCGGGGCCUAAGCCGAGGACGGAAGUCGUAGGCGAUGGACAGCAGGUGUAGAUUCCUGCACUACCGAUGGAAUGAAGCAGUGACACAGAAGGAUAACUCGAGCAGGGUGAUGGUCAACCCUGUGCAAGCAUCGAGGUUGGGUUGUAGUGAAGUACGCAACCCUAUAAGCUGAGGUGUGAUGCGGACCGAAAUUUCAGUAGGGAAGCGAGUGAGUUCACGCUGGCGAGAAAAGCUGCUAGUACAUCCAAAGGUACCCGUACCGGAAACCGACGCAGGUGGGCGAGGAGAGAAUCCUGAGACGAACGGGAGAACCCUUGUUAAGGAACUCGGCAAAAUGACCCCGUAACUUCGGGAUAAGGGGUGCCUGCGAGAGCAGGCCGCAGAGAAUAGUCACAAGCGACUGUUUAGCAAAAACACAGGUAUCUGCGAAAGCGAGAGCUGACGUAUAGGUGCUGACACCUGCCCGGUGCUGGAAGGUUAAGGGAACAUGUUAGAGCAAUCGAAGCAUCGAACCGAAGCCCCAGUAAACGGCGGCCGUAACUAUAACGGUCCUAAGGUAGCGAAAUUCCUUGUCGGGUAAGUUCCGACCCGCACGAAUGGUGUAACGACUUGUGAGCUGUCUCAACAGGGGGCCCGGUGAAAUUGAAGUAUGGGUGAAGAUGCCCAUUACCCGCGACUGGACGGAGAGACCCCGUAGAGCUUUACUGCAGCCUGAUAUUGAGUUUCGGUAACUGAUGCACAGGAUAGGUGGGAGUCUGAGAGACAUGGGUUUCGGCUCAUGUGGAGACGCUGUUGGGAUACCACUCUUCGGUUACUGAAAUUCUAACAUAGCUCUGUGAAACCAGAGGAUGGACAGUGUCAGGUGGACAGUUUGACUGGGGCGGUCGCCUCCGAAAGAGUAACGGAGGCGCCCAAAGGUACCCUCAGAAUGGAUGGAAACCAUUCGAAGAGCGCAAAGGCAGAAGGGUGCCUGACUGCGAGAGUGACAACUCGAGCAGAGACGAAAGUCGGGCUUAGUGAUCCGGCGGUAUUGAGUGGAAAAGCCGUCGCUUAACGGAUAAAAGCUACCUCGGGGAUAACAGGCUGAUCUCCCCCAAGAGUCCACAUCGACGGGGAGGUUUGGCACCUCGAUGUCGGCUCGUCGCAUCCUGGGGCUGAAGCAGGUCCCAAGGGUUUGGCUGUUCGCCAAUUAAAGCGGCACGCGAGCUGGGUUCAGAACGUCGUGAGACAGUUCGGUCCCUAUCCAUCGUGGGCGUAGGAGUCAUGAGAGGAGCUGUUCCUAGUACGAGAGGACCGGAAUGGACGCACCACUGGUGCAACUGUUGUCGUGCCAACGGCAUAGCAGGGAAGCGAAGUGCGGAUGGGAUAAACGCUGAAGGCAUCUAAGCGUGAAGCCCACCUCAAGAAUAAGACUCCACAAUAGACCCCUGGAGGACUACCAGGUAGAUAGGUCAUCGGUGGAAGCGCUGUAAGGCGUGUAGCUUGAUGAUACUAAUCGGUCGAAAGCUUCAUUUA